rnacentral:lncRNA from 1 species
UCAGAGUCACUCAACCACUGAGCCACACAUCCCCAGCCCAACUUUGUAUUUUACUUAAAGACAGAGUCUCACUGAGUUGCUUGGCACCUUGCUUUUGUUGAGGCUGGCUUUGAACUUGCAAUCCUCCUGCCUCAGCUUUCUGAGCCUCUGGGAUUACAGGUGUGUACCACUGCGUCUGGCUUGUUUAAGGUUUUAAUUCCUAUAAAAUCCACUCUAUCUUUUUGCUUUUUCUUUUAUAUUUAAUGCUUUCUGUGUCCUGUCAAAGGAAUUUUUGCUGAUUGUAAAAUAUGCCCUUGGGGUUUCCUCAAUGUCUAGGUCUACAUAGGUCCUUAGGGAAAUAUGAAUUAAAACCAAUGAAUUAUAGCUACCCAGUCACUAGAAUGGCUAAAUUAAAAAGACUGAUAAUACUAAGUGCACUGAGGAUGUGGAACAAGUAGAAUCAACAUAUACUGCUUGUGGGAAUAUGAAAUGACAAGGCCACUUUGGGAAUUGGUCUGGCAGUUUCUUACUUAAGUAAAAACACAGCUCACUUGUGACUUAGUACUUAAUACUUUCAGACUUUACCCAACAGAAAUGAAGAUAAUUGCCCACAAAAAGAUUUAUAUACAAAUGAAUGCUCACAGCCAACCAUUCAAAUGCCCAUCAAUAAAAGAGUACACAAACACUGGUUUAUCUGUACAAUGGACUAUUACUCAGCAAUCAAAAGAUACAAAUUGCUGAUAUACACAAAUGAUAUGAAUUUUUCCCAAAAUGUUGAGCUGGAAACGUUUUCCACAAGAGUACCUGCUAUAUGAGUCCAUUUACAUCAAAUUCCAGAGUAGAUAAAAUUCAUCCGUGAUGAAAUAAAUCAAAGCAGUCUGCUACAGUCUGAAUGUCUAUGUGCCCUACACAGGAGGUGAUUAGGCCAUGAGAACAGAACCCUAUAAUUGAGAUUAGAGGCCUUUAUCCCCAAAAGCUGCCGUGCCUCUUCCACCAUUUGAGGACACAACAAGAAAGCAC